UACGUAGGAUGCAAGCGUUGUCCGGAAUUAUUGGGCGUAAAGAGCGAGCAGGCGGUUUGGAAAGUUGGACGUGAAAUUUUAGGGCUUAACCCUAAAGGGUCGUCCAAAAACUCCCAGACUAGAGUGCAGGAGAGGAAAGCGGAAUUCCCGGUGUAGUGGUGAAAUGCGUAGAUAUCUGGAGGAAUACCGGUGGCGAAGGCGGCAUCCUGGACCGGCAUUGACGCUGAGGAGCGAAAGCUAGGGGAGCAAACGGG
rnacentral:rRNA from 1 species